GCGUGAGUGAAGAAGGCCUUAGGGUUGUAAAACUCUUUCACCGGUGAAGAUGAUGACGGUAGCCGGAGAAGAAGCCCCGGCUAACUCCGUGCCAGCAGCCGCGGUAAUACGGAGGGGGCUAGCGUUGUUCGGAAUUACUGGGCGUAAAGCGCGCGUAGGCGGCGUAUCAAGUCAGAGGUGAAAGCCCUGGGCUCAACCCGGGAACUGCCUUUGAUACUGAUAUGCUUGAGUACGGGAGAGGUGAGUGGAAUUCCCAGUGUAGAGGUGAAAUUCGU
rnacentral:rRNA from 1 species